GACUGGAGUUCUGAGAGGGUGCUCUGCUCCUCCUGUCAUCUCUCCCUUUCCUUCUGAGGCCAAAGGAGGAAGGCAUGCUGCGGGCUCUAGCCCUCCUUCUAGCUUUCCUGGCUCCUGCCACUCAGAUAUCUUCCAACUUGGAAGGGAGAGAGAUGUCCAUCACCAGACAGGCUGGGUCAUCUGCUGUAAUCACUUGUGAUAUUAAACAAAGCAGCGACUACGUCCACUGGUACCGAUACCGGGAGGGGAUGGCCCCACAACGCCUUCUCUACUACCAGUUCUCCAGCUCAAAGGUUGUGAGUGAACCCGGAAUCAGUUCAUGGAAAUACCAAGCUUAUACAGGCACAGGAAGGACCUGUAAACUUUUAAUCAAAAUUCUGGAAGAAAAUGAUUCUGGUGUGUAUUACUGUGCUGCCUGGGAGAGAUCAAAUUGGAUCAAGAUAUUUGGAAAAGGGACUAAGCUCAUAGUAACUCCCUCUGACAGAAGCCUUCCUGCAGAUGUUUCCCCCAAGCCCACUAUUUUUCUUCCUUCAGUUGCUGAAAUAAAUCUCCAUAAUGCUGGAACAUACCUUUGUCUUCUUGAGAAAUUCUUCCCAGAUGUUAUAAGGGUAUAUUGGAAAGAAAAGAAUGGCAAUAGAAGUCUGGAAUCCCAGCAGGCAAACACCAUGAAGACUGAUGACACGUACAUGAAAUUCAGCUGGCUGACCGUGACUGAAAAGUCAAUGGAUAAAGAACACAGAUGUCCAACACGAGAAUAAUAGAGGAGGGGUUGACCAAGAGAUUCUUUUUCCUUCAGUGAACAAAGUUGUCACUGCUACUGAUUCUACAACAGCUUCCCCAACAGAGGAAAGUGAGGUCGCUGCUAUUAAUUCUACAAAAGCUUGUCUGAGAGAUGAAAGCAACACCCUGCAGCUGCAGCUCACCAACACUUUUGCCUAUUACACCUACCUCCUCCUCCUCCUCGUGAGCGCGGUCUACUUUGUCAUCGUCGCCUUCUGCCUGUUAAGGAGAACAGCAGUGUGUGGCGGUGGAAAGAGUUCGUAACAGAGGGUGGCAUAAAGAAGACAACUUUUCUCCAUUGUUUAUUCUCCCUAAAACUGUCUCCUGAGGAUCUAGCUGGGCUUUCUCUCUGGGUUUGGGUUAUUUCAGUCACCUGUGUAUUUUUCUAUUAUGUCAAUAU